CCUACGGGUGGCUGCAGUGAGGAAUAUUGGUCAAUGGGCGUAAGCCUGAACCAGCCAAGUCGCGUGAAGGAUGAAGGUUCUAUGGAUCGUAAACAUCUUUUAUAAGGGAAUAAAGUGCGGGACGUGUCCCGUUUUGUAUGUACCUUAUGAAUAAGGAACGGCUAUCUCCGUGCCAGCAGCCGCGGUAAUACGGAGGAUCCGAGCGUUAUCCGGAUUUAUUGGGUUUAAAGGGUGCGGAGGCGGCCUGUUAAGUCAGCGGUGAAAGUCUGUGGCUCAACCAUAGACUUGCCGUUGAAACUGGGAUGCUUGAGGGUGUUUGAGGCAGGCGGAAUGCGGGGUGUAGCGGUGAAAUGCUUAGAUAUCACGCAGAACCCCGAUUGCGAAGGCAGCCUGCCAAGCCAUGACUGACGCUGAUGCACGAAGGCGUGGGGAUCAAACAGGAUUAGAUACCCUGGUAGUC
rnacentral:rRNA from 1 species